UCCGUGAGGAAGUCGAAGCUCUGCUCCGAGUCCGACGUGGCCGACUGCAGGGAGCUCAGCGAGCCCGCCACGGAGCCGUCCCCCUCGAACAUUUGGUGAACAGUGACAGCUUGACAGCAGGGCAAAAUAGAAUCCCAGUUUAUCCAAGGAGAAAAAAAAUGGAAUACAGCUGUAUACCCAUGCUCCACCCAUCUCAACUUCUUCCUG